CGUUGUUGCAGUUAAAAAGCUCGUAGUUGAUUUGUGGCGUUCCGUGCGGUCCAAAAUCUUUUUGGUGCUGUCGCGUGUAUGCCAUCCUUGGGUGGAAUCUGUGUGGCAUUAGGUUGUCGUGCAGGGGAUGCCCAUCGUUUACUGUGAAAAAAUUAGAGUGUUCAAAGCAGGCUUAUGCCGUUGAAUAUAUUAGCAUGGAAUAAUGAGAUAGGACCUUGGUACUAUUUUGUUGGUUUGCGCACCGAGGUAAUGAUUAAUAGGGACAGUUGGGGGUAUUCGUAUUCCAUUGUCAGAGGUGAAAUUCUUGGAUUUUUGGAAGACGAACUACUGCGAAAGCAUUUACCAAGGAUGUUUUCAUUAAUCAAGAACGAAAGUUAGGGGAUCGAAGAUGAUUAGAUACCAUCGUAGUCUUAACCA
rnacentral:rRNA from 1 species